rnacentral:rRNA from 1 species
GAGUUUGAUCCUGGCUCAGAGCGAACGCUAGCGGCGGGCCUAACACAUGCAAGCCGAGCGCGUGGCUUCGGCCACGAGCGGCGGACGGGUGAGCAACACGUAGGUAAUCUGCCCUGUGGUGGGGGAUAACCAGGGGAAACCUUGGCUAAUACCGCAUAUGGCCUUCGGGUCAAAGCCUUCGGGCGCCAGAGGAUGAGCCUGCGUCGCAUUACCUAGUUGGUAGGGUAACGGCCUACCAAGGGGACGAUGCGUAGCUGGUCUGAGAGGAUGAUCAGCCACACUGGGACUGAGACACGGCCCAGACUCCUACGGGAGGCAGCAGUGGGGAAUAUUGCGCGAUGGGCGAAAGCCUGACGCAGCCACGCCGCGUGGGUGAUGAAGGCCUUCGGGUUGUAAAGCCCUGUCGGGAGGGACGAAGUUCUGACGGUACCUCCCAAGAAAGCACCGGCUAACCCCGUGCCAGCAGCCGCGGUAAUACGGGGGGUGCAAGCGUUGCUCGGAAUUAUUGGGCGUAAAGCGUGCGUAGGCGGCUCGUUAAGUCAGAUGUGAAAGCCCUGGGCUCAACCUGGGAACUGCAUCUGAAACUGGCGAGCUAGAGUUGAGUAGAGGGGAGUGGAAUUUCAGGUGUAGCGGUGAAAUGCGU